AUUGAACGCUGGCGGCAGGCCUAACACAUGCAAGUCGAACGAGUGGCGGACGGGUGAGUAAUGUCUGGGAAACUGCCUGAGGGAGGGGGAUAAAUAACGGAAACGGAAGCUAAUAACGACUACCAUCAGAUGUGCCCAGAUGGGUUUAGCUUGUUGGGGGGGUAACGGCAGACCAAGGCGACGAUCCCUAGCUGGUCUGAGAGGAUGACCAGCCACACUGGAACUGAGACACGGUCCAGACUCCUACGGGAGGCAGCAGUGGGGAAUAUUGCCCAAUGGGCGCAAGCCUGAUGCAGCCAUGCCGCUUGUAUGAAGAAGGCCUUCGGGUUGUAAAGUACUUUCAGCGGGGAGGCGUUACCCGCAGAAGAAGCACCGGCUAACUCCGUGCCAGCAGCCGCGGUAAUAC
rnacentral:rRNA from 1 species